ACUCCUACGGGAGGCAGCAGUGGGGAAUAUUGCACAAUGGGCGCAAGCCUGAUGCAGCCAUGCCGCGUGUAUGAAGAAGGCCUUCGGGUUGUAAAGUACUUUCAGCAGUGAGGAAGGCGGGUGUGUUAAUAGCACAUUCGUUUGACGUUAGCUGCAGAAGAAGCACCGGCUAACUCCGUGCCAGCAGCCGCGGUAAUACGGAGGGUGCGAGCGUUAAUCGGAAUUACUGGGCGUAAAGCGCAUGCAGGUGGUUUGUUAAGUCAGAUGUGAAAGCCCGGGGCUCAACCUCGGAAUUGCAUUUGAAACUGGCAGACUAGAGUACUGUAGAGGGGGGUAGAAUUUCAGGUGUAGCGGUGAAAUGCGUAGAGAUCUGAAGGAAUACCGGUGGCGAAGGCGGCCCCCUGGACAGAUACUGACACUCAGAUGCGAAAGCGUGGGGAGCAAACAGGAUUAGAUACCCUGGUAGGAUAGCG
rnacentral:rRNA from 1 species